UUGUCUUCACCCCCCUCCGGCAGGGAGCGCAGGGUAAAGUCCAUGCGUGUUAUAAAAUGAUCCGGUGUGUGGAGCAGCCUCAGCUCGAACAAAUUGUCUUUCACCACAGCACAAAAAAGCCGCCAUCAGCUGCAAAUUGUGCGCAUAAGAAACAAAUAUAAACAGUAAAAAAAAAUAAAAAAAUAGGAGCAUUUAACGAAACCAACACCGUGUUUACCACGCAGUCAGUUGACAGAGGAAACUACAACAUGAAUUUGCCAACGUACCCUCCUGUCAGACAGGCAUCCAGAGGAGGACCAUGGAUGGUGCGCACCGUGGGGAGUUCAGUCCUGCUGCCGCCGCUCUGUGUUUAUUUCCCGGUUAGAAGGAGAGGGAGUGGGUCGGUGUGCUGCCGGUGUAACGCCUAAUGAGGGAGGGAGGAGGAGAGAGAGAGGGAGGGACGCUGUCAGAUGCUUGGAGGCAAAGAAGGGGAGACUUACACACACAUACGGGAGUGUGUGCGUGAGUAUGCGUGUGCGUGUGUUUGUGUGUAUGGAGAUAAACAGCGCUCGUGCCUUUGCUGCACAAACCUCCGUCUCCGUCAGCAAGUUUUCAAAUGUAAAUAAAAAAAUAAGCCAACAAGGUGACAUAAUCUCUUGUAAUGAUGUGUUGCAGUUAUGCGUUUUUGCGUAGAAUGACUGACCGCCAUACGUGCAUGAUUUGCACCUUUAAGCCCACCUGGAAUGGUUGCGGACAGUAAAACAUGUUUCCUUCUUCGGUGAAUGAAAUAUUUCAACCCUCCAGCAGCUGCUUCAGGAGGAGCUGUUGUUUCGCGCCGUGUCGUCAGGAAUGCUCGGUCCCCCUCUGAUUUCAUCAACUGCAGCCAGCCAACACACGCACACACACACACACACACACACGAUUUAUUAACACCCGCUCCUGUAAACACGAGUGACGGGAGCUCGUCAGUCAGGUAUCACUCCUCCAUUGUGCGCCCCUAAAUUAACAAGGUAUUAUUUUGAGAGGCGAGGUUGGUUUGAUAGAAUUAAUCAGUGAGAGAUUGCUGCUGCUGCUGAAGAUGAUGAUGAUGAUUUGAUUAAUCUUUCUCAGUUUCCUCAGGGAAGUGGGGGCGCAUUCAGCAGGAUAACAGAAUUAAAGGAACAUUGCUCCGGGUUUCAGCAAACUAUGUUAGCAUGCAGGUCGGAGCAAUUUUGUUAGCCGUGCAGUAGAACUACUCUACAGGUGGAGUUUGGUGGCUAAAUGGUAGACCUCAAACACUUUGCAUUGUUGUUAUUUAGAAAAGGAUUUACACAGCAGGAAAAUACAACCCAGAUUGGAUCUUUUUUUUUUUUUUUUUGCCUAUAUGGACUCUUCCACAGCAGUCUGAACGGCCAAAUCAGAUAUUUCCACCCACCAAAAAAAGACUGAUUGACACUUCCAUAUGUGGAGCUAAAUGAUUGUUUUCAGAGCGUCUGCAGUCAGAACUGUCCUCCUGAAUUUAACUCGACCUUUAUGUCACUGACCUGAAACAUGCAUCAUGAUUCUGCACCAGAAAGAACCAGACUGAACAUAAAAAUACAAAUAAAUCAUAAUUAUGAAUUUUGAAAGAAGUGUGCUCCACUGAAGCGCAUCCUGAAGGAACCGCAUUGGAUCCUACUUCACAUCCAGACAGACUUUUCAGAAACUGCAGUCGAUGAUCCACAAAAGCUCAUCGCUGUUAGUUGUGCUUCUGUUUCUUUUGUCCAUUAUUUCAAACUAAACAGAUCGCAGCUGCAUCACACCUGAGUUCUUCUUCUGCGCAUCUGAGUCGCUUUGGAGUCGUGAAACAUUCACACAGAAGACUGAUUUCAGCGAGAAAAAAUCUGAAUUGAGCAUCAAGACCUGCUGUGUGAACACAGUCUAUUUCUCCCAUCACACUAUUACAAAAACACCAUCUGUGGUGGUGAAGGAUGAGCCACGGCUCACCCUGAGACAUCCUGCUUCUGAAAACAUCUACAAGGCGCUGAGUGUCCUCUAGAGUUCAGCUCAAUCCAUCCAGACAUGAAAGGAACAGGGCCACAUUAUGGCCACAUUAUGGCCAUAUCCUCACAACCCGAGAGACCAGAGAGGGAAGACUCCAUGUCACCGGGACAACAACAGUUGGUUCUUCGCCAGUCAAAUCUUCAUGGGAGAGUGACAAUGGGUCCAGUGUUCAUUUAUACGUACCCCUGAGCCACACAUGGGACUGGCAAGACUUCUAGGUGAAGACGUCUGUUGAAUCACAGGCCACAGUGGAAGCAGCCUGUUUGGUCAGAAGGGUUCUGUAUGCAGCAGCAGUAGCGGCAACAGCAGCAGCUCCUUCACAGCUGCAGGAAACCAACCGUUACUUCCUGAACGUUGCAGCCGCUGCCCCACAGCUGGCCGUCAAAACAAUUACUGACAGUGACACCAUACUCAUAGUUACUGCAACUAAAACCUAAAAAUAGAAAGUUUAUCUCCAACUACAGAUGCACCGAAAAUUAUCCCAACCCCGCUGCAUUUCUUGAUUCAGACAUUUCCAAUAAAAGUGAGUGAAGCUGAUCAGGCACCAGGUUGGCCUGAGGUCGUGGACCUUAGGUUCCUCAUUAUGAGGUACUGGUGUAAAGUUGCACAGAAAUAAUUUGAGUCGUAAAGCCUUUUUUCACAUUGUUUUAUUUAUUUAAAAAUGUGACAAUGGGAGCAAUAACUAGCAGUUUAAACAAACUACUAUUUCGGCUAAAUAUUUAGUAAUAAGAUAAACUGUUAUCUCCAAAUUAAAUAUUUAGUUAAGAUAAAUAUUGACCUUCAAACUAGUUUAAAGCUGUUUGGUUGAAUACUUUCAGGUGCAACAAGGCACUGACUGAAAGAUUGAGAUGAUUUUGUUAAAAUGUCUUUUAAACCAUUCGCACAACAGAUUUGUCCCCAAAGAGAGGGCACCCCCCCCCCCCCCCCUCAGCCUCUUCCUAUGUUAUUGCCUCAGGCUGAACCUCAGUGGAGCCUAAGAGUAAGACUCCCAACACUGAAAUAAAUUUGAUCUGGAGAUUUUUUGGCAAGCAAGACAGACGGCCUCAGGGGUUUUAUUCAAGGCAUCAAUAAACUUUUUGCAUCUGACCACCUGUAACAUCUUUCACCUUUUCAGGGCUACAUGUAAAACAUCUUAGACUCUUUCAAAAACAUAUUUCAGCUUUUUCCUAUCCUGAUGGUCAGAAGUCCUCCUGACCAGCAGGAAGGACGUUGCUCACUCGCCCUCCCAAAUGGAGCAUGGGAAGCUAAGAAACAAGAGGGAACUUUUGGCAAUGAGUCAGAGUUUUGAUAAACAUGAAGGAUGUAACUUGCAUGUUUAGCAUAAGAUAUGAGUAGGUUAUCAUGUUAUUGUUUUUUUGUUUUUUUUCCCCCUUUUUUUUAAACUGUCUCCAUGUCGUGACAACAUGAGACUGAAAAUCUGUGAAAAGAUCGAUCUCCUCCACCUCCUCCCUGAGCUGCUAUUGAAUCGGUGCCUAUGCUAACUAGGAUUAGCAUUAACUAGAGGAUAUGCUAAUAGGGAAAAUCUGUAGCAUGGGGUGGAGUGAAGAGGUGUAUGAGCAACGCCACAUGAGAUUGUGAUUGACAGCGCUAAGUCCCGCCUCCUGGCUUUGAUUGAUUGUUUCUAGUUAGCUCUCAGAGAAGGCAGUAGAGAUCAAUGUUUUCACAGGCUAUCCAUCUCAUAGUGACAGCUUCAAAAAUUAUUAUUACUAUUAUUAUUUUUUUAUAUAAAAGUUACAUACUUACCCAUAUUAUGUGAUCAGAUCACAUGAUCACUGUGAUACAUUCUGGGAUUCGGUUUUCCUCCAGUUCUACUUGUGUAGUUCAGUCCUUCAGGACUCAACAGGCUGUGAAAGACUAGACUGGGAUGGAAAGCUUUACUGUCCAGCAGGAUAACUGAGCGACAGUGUGAAUGAAAAGUUCAGAGCUUAAUUCCACUGAGGAUCUGUUGGAAUCAGUUUGCUAACAGUUCAAAACGACUCUUAACAGACGCUCUUCCUAAAUCUGACUGAGCCUGAACUAUUUAGUACAGAAGAGUUGGCAAAAACUGAAUCUGUGCAGGUGCAAAGCUGGUAGAGACAUACACCAACAGAUGAUCAGCUGUAAUCACAGCAAAAAGGUUCCAGUCAGUAUUCACUGAGGAGAGCUGAAUGGAAAUGAACAGAUCACAGGAAACGGUUGUUUGCUUGUCAAAGUAAAUGUUUUAUGUUUCAGCUUUUACAUGAAAUAAAAUUUAUCCUAAAAUUGUACAAUACACUGAUGAUUUGUCAGUGUAUUAAAUCAUGAAAAGUUAAGCUAAAGUUGCUUUGAACAGGCUGUGAAAACAAAUCAUAUGAUCAGAUCAUAUCACAUGAUAUGAGCAGAUCAUUUCUGAUCAUAGACCCAGCAUGAGAGAAGUCAUUUUAUUUUUAAAGUUGUGCAUUGCAUUUUUUAAGUGAUUAUUUUGAUGUUUUUAUAUGAUGUCUGUUCAGCACUUUGGUCAGUUUUGCUGUUUUAAAAGUGCUUAUAAAUAAAGCUGGCUUGGCUAACAACCAAAUAAAUCAACAAAAACAUGUUGUUUUUUUUUAAGUCCAAAUUCUGUUUUCCAGCUUUAGUUCAUUUUUAUUAAGAACAUGAAUGGAUGAAAAUAUCUUUGGAUCACAGAGGUUGAAAACACCUGGCCAGGCUGGAGCGCAACAAACUGUAUUUGUUGCGCUCCAAGUUUCCACCUCAUCACAUGUCCACAGGAAACUGGAAGUGGGAGCAGCAGAGAAUCAAACAUCUGAAAUGAAAAGCCACACA